GACGAACGCUGGCGGCGUGCUUAACACAUGCAAGUCGAACGGAAAGGCCCUGCUUGUGUGGGGUGCUCGAGUGGCGAACGGGUGAGUAACACGUGAGUAACCUGCCCUUGACUUUGGGAUAACUUCAGGAAACUGGGGCUAAUACCGGAUAGGAGCUCCUGCGGCAUGGGGGGGGUUGGAAAGUUUCGGCGGGUGGGGAUGGACGCGCGGCUUAUCAGCUUGUUGGUGGGGUAGUGGCUUACCAAGGCUUUGACGGGUAGCCGGCCUGAGAGGGUGACCGGCCACAUUGGGACUGAGAUACGGCCCAGACUCCUACGGGAGGCAGCAGUGGGGAAUAUUGCACAAUGGGCGGAAGCCUGAUGCAGCAACGCCGCGUGCGGGAUGACGGCCUUCGGGUUGUAACCCGCUUUCGCCUGUGACGAAGCGUGAGUGACGGUAAUGGGUAAAGAAGCACCGGCUAACUACGUG
rnacentral:rRNA from 1 species